GAUGAACGCUAGCGAUAGGCUUCACACAUGCAAGUCGAGGGGCAUCACGAAUUAGCAAUACGUUUGGUGGCGACCGGCGCACGGGUGCGUAAACACCGUAUACAACCUACCUUCAAUUGGGGAAUAACCUGGAGAAAUUUGGAUAAUACCCCAUGGUAAACGGAAGAGGCAUUUUUUUUGUUUUAAAGAUUUAUUGAUUGGAGAUGGGUAUGCGUAGGAUUAGCUAGUUGGUAAGGUAACGGCUUACCAAGGCAACGAUCCUUAGGGGUUCUGAGAGGAAGAUCCCCCACACUGGUAUUGAGACACGGACCAGACUCUACGGGAGGCAGCAGUGAGGAAUAUUGGUCAAUGGU
rnacentral:rRNA from 1 species